UACGUAGGAUGCAAGCGUUAUCCGGAAUGAUUGGGCGUAAAGCGUCCGCAGGUGGCUGUGUAAGUCUGCUGUUAAAGAGUCUAGCUCAACUAGAUAAGAGCAGUGGAAACUACAUAGCUAGAGUACGUUCGGGGCAGAGGGAAUUCCUGGUGUAGCGGUGAAAUGCGUAGAGAUCAGGAAGAACAUCGGUGGCGAAGGCGCUCUGCUGGACCAUAACUGACACUCAGGGACGAAAGCUAGGGGAGCGAAUGGG
rnacentral:rRNA from 1 species